AGAAUUAUUGAAUACUUGAUGGGGUUGUAGCUGGCUCUUUAGGGAGUAUGUGCUCGCCCUGUCACCUUUAUCUUUCCACCUGUGCACUUCUUGUAGAUUUGGAUGUAGAUUUUCCGAGGUCAACUCGGUUGGGAGGAAUGUCAAUUGAGUUUGACUUUUCUUGUAUGUCCAAGUCUAUGUUUUCAUAUACUCCAAAGAAUGUAACAGAAUGUAUUAUUGGGCCCCUGUGCCUAUAAAACUUUAUACAACUUUCAGCAACGGAUCUCUUGGCUCUCGCAUCGAUGAAGAACGCAGCGAAAUGCGAUAAGUAAUGUGAAUUGCAGAAUUCAGUGAAUCAUCGAAUCUUUGAACGCACCUUGCGCCCCUUGGUAUUCCGAGGGGCAUGCCUGUUUGAGUGUCAUUAAAUUCUCAACCUUACUAGUUUCUUCUGAGCUAUGUAAUGGCUUGGAUGUGGGGGUCUUUUUGCUGGCGUCGAAAGAAGUCAGCUCCCCUAAAAUACAUUAGCCGGUACCCCCGCGUAGACCGUCUAUUGGUGUGAUAAUUAUCUACGCCGUUGGAUGUCUGCUAUUAAAUGGGAGAGUGCUGCUUAUAAUCUGUCUUCUCUGAAGACAAUUAUUGACCAUUUGACCUCAAAUCAGGUAGGACUAC
rnacentral:rRNA from 1 species